GAGAAAUCACAUUUUGGCUAUUCCCCGACUUGAACCAGGGGAUAGAAAUCGUAGUCACCGGCUGGGCGCAGCGGCUCAUGCUGUAAUCCUGGCAGUUUGGGAGGCCGAGGCGGGCAGAUUAUUGAGGUUAGGAGUUCGAGACCAGCCUGGUCAAUAUGAUGAAACACCGCCUCUAGUAAAAAUACAAAAAUUAUCCGGGCGUGGUGGCGAGCGCCUGUAAUCCCAGCUACUCAGGAGGCUGAGGCAGUAGAAUCCCUUGAACCUGGGGUGCGGAGGUUGCAGUGAGCCAAGAUCGCGCCACUGCACUCCAGGCUGGGCGACACGGCGAGACUCUGUCUCAAAACAAAACAAAAGGAAAAGAAGAGAAAAGAAAAAGAAACGCAGGCACCCUGAAAUCGAAACUUGUUAGGACCAACAAGCCAACGACAGACGAAUCUGCGGGGUCCUGCGACAGACACGCCAGCCCCGCCGCCACAGCACAGGGUUCUGGAGGUCGAGCUGUUCUGCGGGUUCUGCGGCGGCGCUGGGAAGAGACGGCGCCCGGGCAGCUCCCCUGUCACCGGCUUGGAGGAGCGGCGGGCUCCCCUAGCCCAGCGCCGCCGCCGCCGCCCGGGAACGCCAGGCUCACCCCAGCUGGGGAAGCUCCGAAUCCCUCAGAUCGGCGACCUGAGUGCUGUCGCCCCGAGAAAAUGGAGGCAUCGAGCAACGAGCUGUGCUGAGACCGAGAGACCUCAGUUCUGCGAAAUGUCGGUGCCUGGAGCUUGCGAAUGACUGCGGCCGGCGGGUUGUCAAGGACAACAUUCCUUAUGGCGCAACCAACAGCGCUGUCACCAAGAAACUGGACUCUGAGAAAAAAGAGGGUUUCGGCCACCGAGAAACUCCGUGCCACAUGUGCCGUGACAGCAAAACCGCCCGCUCCGCGCCGCUGGUGAAAGAGCUAACGAACGCCAGGUGCUGCGACAGUGACACCGGGACUAGAAGGCCUCGGAUGGAGAAUGGGACGCCCAGAGCAAGCAGGAAAACGUUUUGUUUGGCUCAACUAGCGCUGUCGCAACCGGAAAACUGUCAGGCCAGUGCUGCUGCGGAUGUGAGAAACCGGUGAUCCGAAGGCGGAGUGGCGCUGGGCGCUGGACUCGCUGGUGUGAAAAUCUGGCUGCUCUAGGACCCGGCAAGCGCGGGCACCAGGCGAACGCCAGCGACUUUGCCAGACAAAUGCAUGUCUUUUUUGGUCGCCAUUCAAAGAUGCAGCCGGCAGUCAGCCCCGGCUCUGAGAAACAAGUGGAGGUGUCAGCCAUAAACCCUCCGUUCAGGGAAAAGAGAGUCGCUGCGACGGAUCGACUGGCCGUUGGGUGGAACUUUCUUUGGUGGCCUAGUGACUAGAAAAUAAAAACGAAAACGAAAUAAAAAACUGCUACUGACAUUACUCCCACGCUCCCUCCUCAAGUCAGUGGCUUCAGGCUUAAGAAAACCUGUAUUUUUCUUGGCUGAUCCGUGAUCCCUAAUUACUGAGGGCCCCGCGACCCACCAAGUGCGAUUCGCAGAGGGAAAGGAGCUGGAAUAAGGAUCCAGAAUGGGACGGAUUUGGCUCCUCCAGGAAGAAAGCAAAACAAAUGCAGGUCGCGAACACUUUACAUUGCAGGAAGCUGCUCUUCCAGUGGCCGCGGCUGGGUCCUUCCACACCACCUCUCUGUCCUAGGCCUUCGUCCCGGUUCAGCCCUCACGGAUUCUAGGCUAGCGGUCAACAACCGCAUCCCUCCGGAACCUGGAAACUCUAGGUCCGAGAUCUCGGUGAAGAAUGAAAGGCACAGCGCCGCUCAACCCAGGCUUCAGGCCUGCCCCGCUGGUCCCGUCCCUUCCCUGUGGGAUGGAACUCUGUGGGAAUCGCUCCUUAUUCUGAUGGUUCACUCAUUCAGAUGUCCUUGAUAUUUGGGGAUAUUUCUAAAACAGCUGGGGAGAAAAAUGGACUGCGAGGCUCCGGUGUUGGACGUGAAAUUGGCAGUGAGACAUCCGCCUCUAAGCCCAGGGAAAAGCUUAAAUUGUGGUUCUCUGUCUCUAGCACCGUGAUCUUUGAAAUGCGUUAUUGAUUUUCUUCUUUCUUCUGGGAAAUGCAAUGCAGGUGAACUUGUCCUGCAUGCCAGUAAAACUACUCAUGUCAGCUGUUCUGCAGGAUCCCAUGAGAAGGUGAGUCACCAGAAAAUGCAGUUUCCACAUCCUGAUGAUUUCAUCUCCCUACCCCAACUGAUCAAUUUCUCCAAUUUUCCAGCCUCUCACCCUCCACAAUCCCCUUAAAAACUGUAGCCCAGAACUCUCUGGAAUGAUGAAUUUGAAGGUUUGCUCCUGUCUCCUCACUCAGAAGCCUGUAAU
ensembl:lncRNA novel transcript